UAGGGAAUCUUCCGCAAUGGGCGAAAGCCUGACGGAGCAACGCCGCGUGAGUGAAGAAGGUCUUCGGAUCGUAAAACUCUGUUAUUAGGGAAGAACAAAUGUGUAAGUAACUAUGCACGUCUUGACGGUACCUAAUCAGAAAGCCACGGCUAACUACGUGCCAGCAGCCGCGGUAAUACGUAGGUGGCAAGCGUUAUCAGGAAUUAUUGGGCGUAAAGCGCGCGUAGGCGGUUUUUUAAGUCUGAUGUGAAAGCCCACGGCUCAACCGUGGAGGGUCAUUGGAAACUGGAAAACUUGAGUGCAGAAGAGGAAAGUGGAAUUCCAUGUGUAGCGGUGAAAUGCGCAGAGAUAUGGAGGAACACCAGUGGCGAAGGCGACUUUCUGGUCUGUAACUGACGCUGAUGUGCGAAAGCGUGGGGAUCAAACA
rnacentral:rRNA from 1 species